rnacentral:rRNA from 1 species
AUCCAGCGAAUUCGGUAGAGAUACCUUAGUGCCUUCGGGAACGCUGAGACAGGUGCUGCAUGGCUGUCGUCAGCUCGUGUUGUGAAAUGUUGGGUUAAGUCCCGCAACGAGCGCAACCCUUAUCCUUUGUGCCAGCGGUCCGGCCGGGAACUCAAAGGAGACUGCCAGUGAUAAACUGGAGGAAGGUGGGGAUGACGUCAAGUCAUCAUGGCCCUUACGAGUAGGGCUACACACGUGCUACAAUGGCGCAUACAAAGAGAAGCGACCUCGCGAGAGCAAGCGGACCUCAUAAAGUGCGUCGUAGUCCGGAUUGGAGUCUGCAACUCGACUCCAUGAAGUCGGAAUCGCUAGUAAUCGUAGAUCAGAAUGCUACGGUGAAUACGUUCCCGGGCCUUGUACACACCGCCCGUCACACCAUGGGAGUGGGUUGCAAAAGAAGUAGGUAGCUUAACCUUCGGGAGGGCGCUUACCACUUUGUGAUUCAUGACUGGGGUGAAGUCGUAACAAGGUAGGCGUAGAUGA